UGUUUCUAACACAUGUUCAAGGCACUGUGUGACAACUUUUGUAUCUUAUUUUGUUUCAUUUUAGCCACGACCUUACAAGGACCUCAAGUCAACCUUUCAUUGCAUUUCUCAAAAGGCAUUUUAGUGUCUUGUCUGCAAUUGGUACUAUGCUAUUUGUAUGGAAUAAAAAUUGGUGGGUAUUGAGCCUAUAACAACCCCAUCCUUUUCUCCCACAUUCAUAGAAGAAAACUUACCUAUUCCAGAAACAGAACAAACUGUUUACGGCUAUUGUCUUUCUCUGGUCUGCUACGGAUGAAGCUUCUGGCAAUAUGAAUCACUCUGCCUUUGAGAAGAUGCAGUGAGCAUAUACAUACCUUCCUAAAUCCUUACAUCUUAUUUUAAAAGACUGUUAACAUUCUUAGUUGUCAUCACAGCAAAGCUUUAAGAUUUCUUCUGUUUUCAUAAUCAAAAUGCCUCAUGAAGCACUUGAAUGAAUGACGGGAUUUCCCGAAGACAAGUUCAGGCACUUCUGAUAAUAGUCCCAGAAUAGAGAUGUUGGAACCAAUGAGUGGAAAGAAUCCUGGAGCUGCAUUUGGAAGAUACAGACUAAAACUGAUCUGGAAUGCUUCCAGACUGCAUGACCUUAUGCAGAUCAUUUAACCCUUAUGAUUCCCAACGUCUUUGGAGAUGGUAGUUUUUGCCCCAGUUAGCCACCAAAAGACACAGUGAGCACAGAAGAGUUACUCUUUGGAGGCACAUUUUUUCACUUUUGAAAAGAACAGUGCAAAUGGGUAUGUUUGUUCCCCUUCCUCCUGUCACUUGUUUCCACCCCUCUCUGCAAGGUGCCCGGAAAGCACCAGCACUGCUGACCCAGCUCUGUGGGAACAGAAGAUUCCAAGUGGCUGAGCAGGUCACCCGGUGCAGACAGGUGGAGGACAGAGAUUGGCCUGGGAUAAAGGAACCAAAGAAGACAAUAGGCUGAAAGAAUCAGAAAAGCAAGCAGGAGUCUCUGGUAGCAAACAUAAGAAGCCAACUCUACAAUCAAAGGAGAAAAUAAAACUUGUGGAAGGUCACGGGGGUGACUCAUGGGAAUGAAAGAUCAUGGGACAUGAGUUCCAAAGCAGAGGAAGAGGGUUCAUCAUUUGCAAAUGGCAUAGAAGAACAAAAUCAAACCCUGUGAAGAGCAAAAAAGAGAUGAAUUUACCCAAGAUCAUCUCCCUGGGUGCCACCAGCUCGGUUAGAGCUAAAUUGUUGUUGAUGACUUGAAAGCACCAGAUCAUGUAAUCUGACAUAUGAGGAUAUACACCACAAAUAAUCAAAUAUUUUAAUAAUGAAAACAUCAAAUGAAUUAAAUAUCCUUAUUAUAUUAGAGCUAUUAGAAUUACUUAAGAGAUAGGCACGCCUGGGUGGCUCAGUCGGUUGAGCAUCCGACUUUGGCUCAGGUCAUGAUCUCACUGUUUAUAGGUUUGAGCCCUGCGUCGGGCUCUGUCCUGACAGUUCAGA